CAGGUUGCUAAUCUCAAUUCUCAUCAUUUUCUUCUUUCCUCUUUUAAUUUAUAUUUUCUUGUAUUCAAAAUUGUUGAAGCGCGAUUUUGUUAAAUAUAAAUAUUUCCAACAUACAAGUUAGUAUCUAAGUUGAUAUUUUAAAUUCCAACUAAUUAAAAAUUUGGUCAUUGGAUAGCCCUUCACUUCAAGCCUAUUUUAAUAUUUGGUUAAAUUAAAGGAGGAGACUCAAUUCUGUCGCCAUCAGAUGCUAAAAAACAUACUCCUGUAAUGGAUCUUUACCACCAUUAAUGAUUAUGCAGACGAUGAGAAGACUGUCAAAGAAUCUCAACUAUCAACUUAUCUUCUUCACCGCUGCUGCUAUCCUCCUCCAGUCGUUAUUUUGCAGGGGACAAUCCGAUCCAUGCCGAACUUCCGGCAGGUGCGGGGAAUUCGGGGUGUGCGACUCACGAGGUUCCCCGGUUUGUACUUGUCCGAGAGAUUCCGCCCCCGCGACGCCGGCAACUGGAGCGGCGGCUGCGAGAGGAGGGCCGCCUUGGAUUGUGGAGGGCCAGGGGGCAAGGGAGAUGGGUUUUUGACGCUCAGAUAUUGACGCUGUCGAGCCACUCGGAGCUGUGGUUCGGCUCCCAAGCUGAGUGCGAGCCGCGGUGCCUCACCAACUGCUCCUGCCUUGCCUACGGCUUCUACGGCGUUGCCGGAUGCAGGUUCUAUACGCAGCCCUUGAUCGACCUUGUCAAAUUCUCCAGCGGCUCCGGCUCCGGCUCCAAUGUCAAUAUUCGCGUUUCUAAAUCUGAGCUAGAGAGUAAUGAGGAGUCGAAGAAGAUCACAAUUAUAAUAGUUGUUGUUGGAUUUGUUGUCAUAUCCACCUGCGCAUAUUUUUAUUGGAAAUAUAUUGCCAAGCGCAAAGGUAAUUUGUUGUGUAAUCAACCCCUUAAUUUUGUGCAUAUUGGUGAUUUAUGUGUGAACACUGUCAUGAAUAAAUAGGCAAAGGGAAAGUAUUCAACUUGGAGCAGUUAAUACAAGUAAUCAGAUGAAUUGGGUGAGGGUAAUCUUGAAGAGUUACCAUUAUUCAAGAUGGAGAUGCUAGCAAAUGCCACCAACAAUUUCUCGGAAGCUAAGAAGCUAGGGAGGGGUGGUUUUGGGCCUGUUUAUAAGGUAGCAACUUCUCAAACUCUGGCCUCGUUAAUUUGAACUCCAUAAAUUCCUCUCUCGUUGAUGAUGACUCGAUAGCUCUAGGGAGAGAUGGUGAAUGGAGAGAAAUCGCAGUGAAGGUGCUGUCGCAGGCAUCUCGACAGGGGAUGCAAGAGUUUGUGAACGAAGUGGUGCUCAUCUCCAAACUUCAGCACAGAAAUCUUGUUAGGUUGCUUGGGUGUUGUGUGGAGAACAAGCAGAAAAUGUUGGUGUAUGAAUACAUGCCUAAUAAGAGUUUGGAUUUUUUCCUAUUUGAUUCAUCACAAGAGAUCCUAGAUGGAGCAAGCGUUUCAACAUCAUACGAGGUAUCUGUCGAGGCCUGCUCUAUCUUCACAGAGAUUCAAGAGUGAAGAUAAUCCAUCGAGACCUCAAGCCCAGCAACAUAUUGUUGGAUGAUGAUUGGAACCCGAAGAUAUCGACUUCGGCAUGGCAAGAAUAUUUGGAACCGAACAAGAUCAUGUCCAGACUGUAAGAGUGGUAGGAACAUACGGAUACAUGGCCCCUGAGUACGCGAUAGAGGGGAGAUUCUCAGAGAAAUCAGAUGUUUUUAGCUUCGGAGUGAUGAUGUGGAGAUUGCCACGGGUAGACGGAACAUAAGCUUCAAGAAGAAGAAGGCUCCCUCAGCCUCUUGGAACAUGCAUGGAAGUUGUGGAAUUCGGGCAGCGUUGCAAGUUUGAUAGAUACGAGAGUAUCGGGUGCGAGGGAGCAAGGGGAGGCGAUGAGGUGCAUUCAUAUCGGUUUGUUGUGCGUUCAAGAACUUCCGACGGAUAGGCCGUCUACUUGGGAUGUGCAGUCGAUGCUGAACAGUGAGAUUGCAAGCUUCCCGAGCCAAAGCAACCAGCAUUUGUUGUCAAGUCCAGCUUUUCUGACACGGGAACAAGUUCUUCACGCCAGCAUCAUUUGUCUCUCAAUAAUGUCUCUCUCACCCAAGUUGAUGCUCGUUGAUUCUAAAUUUUUUACUUAGUAAAUAUGAGAAAAAGGAAAGGAAAUACUUAUUAUUGAUGAUACUAUGUGAUUACAGCAACAGGAGAAAAAUCAUACUUACUAGAAUGUAGUGUGCUCAUAAAGUCGCGAGUCUCCCUUAUGUUGAGUUACAUGCUUUAUUCACACUCAAUUUUGGGAAGAAUGCUUAUUUCAUCUCUUGUUUUAGAUGCAUGUUUCAUAUAAUAUUCAGUUUUUUCUUCUUCAA